GCUCAGUAACACGUGGAGAACGUGCCCUUAAGUGGGGGAUAAUCUCGGGAAAUUGAGGAUAAUACCCCAUAGGUCAUGGGAUCUGGAAUGACCCAUGGCUGAAAGUUCCGGCGCUUAAGGAUCGCUCUGCGGCCUAUCAGGUAGUAGUGGGUGUAACGUACCCCCUAGCCUACGACGGGUAUGGGCCUUGAGAGAGGGAGCCCAGAGUUGGAUUCUGAGACACGAUUCCAGGCCCUACGGGGCGCAGCAGGCGCGAAAACUUUACAAUGCAGGAAACUGUGAUAAGGGAACCCCGAGUGCCCGUAAACGCGGGCUGUCCCGGUGUUUAAAACACAUCGGAAGAAAGGGCCGGGCAAGACCGGUGCCAGCCGCCGCGGUAAUACCGGCGGCUCGAGUGGUGACCACUUUAUUGGGCUUAAAGCGUUCGUAGCUUGAUUUUUAAGUCUCUUGGGAAAUCUCACGGCUUAACUGUGAGGCGUCUAAGAGAUACUGGGAAUCUAGGGACCGGGAGAGGUAAGAGGUACUUCAGGGGUAGAAGUGAAAUUCUGUAAUCCUUGAGGGACCACCGAUGGCGAAGGCAUCUUACCAGAACGGCUUCGACAGUGAGGAACGAAAGCUGGGGGAGCGAACGGGAUUAGAUACCCCGGUAGUCCCAGCCGUAAACUAUGCGCGUUAGGUGUGCCUGUAACUACGAGUUACCGGGGUGCCGAAGUGAAAACGUGAAACGUGCCGCCUGGGAAGUACGGUCGCAAGGCUGAAACUUAAAGGAAUUGGCGGGGGAGCACCACAACGGGUGGAGCCUGCGGUUUAAUUGGACUCAACGCCGGGCAGCUCACCGGAUAGGACAGCGGAAUGAUAGCCGGGCUGAAGACCUUGCUUGACCAGCUGAGAGGAGGUGCAUGGCCGUCGUCAGUUCGUACUGUGAAGCAUCCUGUUUAGUCAGGCAACGAGCGAGACCCACGCCAACAGUUGCUAGCAUGUUCUCCGGAAUGAUGAGGACACUGUUGGGACCGCCUCUGCUAAAGAGGAGGAAGGAAUGGGCAACGGUAGGUCAGCAUGCCCCGAAUUAUCCGGGCUACACGCGGGCUACAAUGGUCAGGACAAUGGGAAACGGCACUGAAAAGUGUAGUCAAUCUCCUAAACCUGUCCCAAGUUCGGAUUGUGGGCUGCAACUCGCCCACAUGAAGCUGGAAUCCGUAGUAAUCGCGUUUCAAAAUAGCGCGGUGAAUAAGUCCCUGCUCCUUGCACACACCG
rnacentral:rRNA from 1 species